rnacentral:rRNA from 1 species
GAUGAACGCUGGCGGCGUGCCUAAUACAUGCAAGUCGAGCGAACAGACGAGGAGCUUGCUCCUCUGACGUUAGCGGCGGACGGGUGAGUAACACGUGGAUAACCUACCUAUAAGACUGGGAUAACUUCGGGAAACCGGAGCUAAUACCGGAUAAUAUAUUGAACCGCAUGGUUCAAUAGUGAAAGACGGUUUUGCUGUCACUUAUAGAUGGAUCCGCGCCGCAUUAGCUAGUUGGUAAGGUAACGGCUUACCAAGGCAACGAUGCGUAGCCGACCUGAGAGGGUGAUCGGCCACACUGGAACUGAGACACGGUCCAGACUCCUACGGGAGGCAGCAGUAGGGAAUCUUCCGCAAUGGGCGAAAGCUUGACGGAGCAACGCCGCGUGAGUGAUGAAGUUCUUCGGAUCGUAAAACUCUGUUAUUAGGGAAGAACAAAUGUGUAAGUAACUAUGCACGUCUUGACGGUACCUAAUCAGAAAGCCACGGCUAACUACGU